CUGCAGCUUAUUAAGCCGACCAGCUUGGUUGCCUAUACUGCUCUGGUGUGCAAAAGCUGCAGACAGUGCAUCUUUGGUUGUGUAUGAGCCCAGCUUGUGAAGUGCUGGGUCCUUUAAGGGACCAUUGAGACAAAA
ensembl:snoRNA SNORA70 Small nucleolar RNA SNORA70